rnacentral:rRNA from 1 species
CAGGCCUAACACAUGCAAGUCGAGCGGAAACGACACUAACAAUCCUUCGGGUGCGUUAAUGGGCGUCGAGCGGCGGACGGGUGAGUAAUGCCUAGGAAAUUGCCUUGAUGUGGGGGAUAACCAUUGGAAACGAUGGCUAAUACCGCAUAAUGCCUACGGGCCAAAGAGGGGGACCUUCGGGCCUCUCGCGUCAAGAUAUGCCUAGGUGGGAUUAGCUAGUUGGUGAGGUAAUGGCUCACCAAGGCGACGAUCCCUAGCUGGUCUGAGAGGAUGAUCAGCCACACUGGAACUGAGACACGGUCCAGACUCCUACGGGAGGCAGCAGUGGGGAAUAUUGCACAAUGGGCGAAAGCCUGAUGCAGCCAUGCCGCGUGUAUGAAGUAGGCCUUCGGGUUGUAAAGUACUUUCAGUUGUGAGGAAGGGGGUAGCGUUAAUAGCGCUAUCUCUUGACGUUAGCAACAGAAGAAGCACCGGCUAACUCCGUGCCAGCAGCCGCGGUAAUACGGAGGGUGCGAGCGUUAAUCGGAAUUACUGGGCGUAAAGCGCAUGCAGGUGGUUCAUUAAGUCAGAUGUGAAAGCCCGGGGCUCAACCUCGGAACUGCAUUUGAAACUGGUGAACUAGAGUACUGUAGAGGGGGGUAGAAUUUCAGGUGUAGCGGUGAAAUGCGUAGAGAUCUGAAGGAAUACCAGUGGCGAAGGCGGCCCCCUGGACAGAUACUGACACUCAGAUGCGAAAGCGUGGGGAGCAAA